CGAGGGUGAGACCAUGGCAGAGACUGAGGUCAGAAAUGCCCUCCUGACUGGCCCUCGCCUCCUUCCUGCUCCCAUCAGCCUUCCUGAGCCUGAGGCCCCAGAUCUCCCCGCCCUCCCAGGUUCACUGUGCUUAGGAAGGGGCGGGGCCAGGGUUGGAGGAGGGGAACAUCCCCAUUGGCGCCUCCAGAAGGAGAGGAGGACCUGUUCGAUGCAGACCAGCCAGCUUCCCUCAGCUCCCAUUGCUUCCAGGGCCAUAUUUCAUGCAGAAGUGACAUGCAAAGUCUAUGGAGACGCAGUGACGGAGAGUCAUCCAGCUUUCCUCCAUCCAGAGAACAUGCCCGUGAGGAGUGACAUUUCAGCAGAGCACUGAAGGGCCUUUAGGCGUUGGUAGCAGACCACAGACCCGCCCUCUUCAAACCGUGGGUUGAAGUGGAAGGCAAUGUCAUCGUCACUGCGGCCUGUCUGAAAGUUCACAGCAAACCUAGACGAGGGAAAUCAGAGAGUCACCUGUAGCCUGGUUUACACCAAUGGCAGGAACGGGGGAGCCUCGAUCGACUUUGACGGGUGUCUCUCUGGGAACUUGCAGGUGACUGGCGAUCGUCAGUCUGUUGUCACUCUCGUUACCAUGUAGCGCUUAGUGUGUUUUUGUACAAUUAUUGCAUUUUUCCUUCACAGUGUGAUUUUCCUAAAAAUAAGUACAAAUUGGGUAAAUUGUUGAUCCCACCAGCAAGAAGCAUAGGUCUUGGACACUAAUUAAAAAUUCAUGUCAAAGACAGAAAUGGGAAAAGUGCCUAAAAGAGCCUUCGGCACCAAGUGGACACUGGUUGGAGGUGUACCCAUGUCUGCUCAACUGGGAAAGAAGAGAAGAAAUUCAAAGCACAGGUGGAAUUGAUGGGAAUAUACCUACAAACACAGGGUCUAAAAGGGGAGGCAUGACUAAAAACUAAAAUAAAAUAAAAAGGAAAUAAAAUGA